GGAUGUGAAGGCAGUCUGUGACCUCUGUCACCCCAUUGACCACCAGGGUGGAUUCGGCUGACCUGGCUGGCUUAGGUGGGUGUCCCCUUCCUCCCUCAAUGCUCCAUCUGCAUCCCUGUUGAAGCUGCACACUCAGUCAAAGAGGACGACGACCCUGAUGGAUGAGGACUGUUUCCUGGGUCAAGAGCUCAAGAGUAGCUGCACUCCCCUGCUAGAACUUCCGAGCGAGCUCUCAAGAAAUAGCCACCUGACUGGCUGACAUAGUUCUGGGUGUGACUCAAUGGUGAACUUAGAAGAGGAAAGACCCACCCU
rnacentral:snRNA from 1 species